GUUCCAGAAUGCAGAAGCUGCAGUUUGAAGGAAAGUCACUGACUGUCAGUGGACUUUUAACAAAAUCAGAAGAAUCAGUUUAAACAAAAUGAGUGAUGUCACCCUGGUCUCCAUGAGUUCAGAAUCCAUCUGAAAGUGUAUCCACUGGAGCUGGUGCGAGGAAUGCACCAAUUCCAGMAGCAGAAAGUUCCUACUUAGCUGGAGCAGUACAGAGAAAGAGAAGGGAAACCUUUCUGCAAAGAAAGCAGGCUGGAUUCUACUUAACAGAGGCUGUUCUGGAGGUGUUUGGUGAUGUACACUGGGGAGCUGCGGUGCUUCAUGAGCGCAAGGGCCUGCUUCUCCAGCCAGUCACCCUGUGCACAAGCCUCCUAACCAGCCCCCCCAAAGGAAACCUAAGAAGAAUAAUCCAACCUGCUUGCCUGGAUAACUCAUUCCAGAAGUGGCACCGAACUGACAAUAUCAACUUGGCCUCCUACUAAAUUUGGUUCUCUGCGUGCAAGCAGCCUUUYUCCAGCAGAUCUUAUGCCUUCAGACCACCCCCUGUGCCCUGGGACAGCCAAGGCACGAGAGCACACAGCACACGCCAUUUAGCCCCAGGCUCUUUGGGACGCUUUGUGCUGAAAACCCCCACAGCCGCUCGUUCGCCAGGGCCGCAGCAGGCAGGACGCUGCCGCGGGGGCACC
rnacentral:lncRNA from 1 species